rnacentral:tRNA from 1 species
UAUUUUACGGUGUUUGAGCACGAAGGGUUUUGAACUCUAAGGAAGGAUUUAAGUACAUCCUUUUAAUAA